rnacentral:lncRNA from 1 species
UUUGAUGAAGCAUUUCAACAAAGGUUCCUUCCUUAUAAUAGAUCUACAAUAUGGCGAGAGACGCAGGUGUAGGAGAUCCUCUCAUAGGAUACCCGAAUUGCCUUUGUGCUAACGCAGGAUUGUAGUUAAUGCAACACCUGAUACCCAUGAGGGGCACAUUAGGGUACCUCCCGCAAUAAUAUAUGAUUUGCGAUCUUUGCAUCCAAAGGACAUUCCAUUUAACUUGCUCCACAUUUAGACUUGCACAGAGUUGGGCC